rnacentral:rRNA from 1 species
CAGUCGCCACGGUAAUGCGUAGGGUGCGAGCGUUAGUCGGAAUUACUGGGCGUAAAGCGUGCGCAGGCGGUCGUGUAAGACAGGUGUGAAAUCCCCGGGCUUAACCUGGGAACUGCGCUUGUGACUGCACAGCUAGAGUAUGGCAGAGGGGGGUGGAAUUCCACGUGUAGCAGUGAAAUGCGUAGAGAUGUGGAGGAACACCGAUGGCGAAGGCAGCCCCCUGGGCCAAUACUGACGCUCAUGCACGAGAGCGUGGGGAGCAAACAGGAUUAGAUACCCCCGUAGUCCCUGUCUCUUAUAU